rnacentral:rRNA from 1 species
ACGAACGCUGGCGGCGUGCUUAACACAUGCAAGUCGAACGAUGAAGCCUUAGCUUGCUUUGGUGGAUUAGUGGCGAACGGGUGAGUAACACGUGAGCAACGUGCCCAGGACUCUGGAAUAACCGCGGGAAACCGUGGCUAAUACCGGAUAGGUGCCGAGGCCGCAUGGUCUUCGGUUGGAAAGUUUUUGCGGUUCUGGAUCGGCUCACGGCCUAUCAGCUUGUUGGUGGGGUAAUGGCCUACCAAGGCGACGACGGGUAGCCGGCCUGAGAGGGUGACCGGCCACACUGGGACUGAGACACGGCCCAGACUCCUACGGGAGGCAGCAGUGGGGAAUAUUGCACAAUGGGCGCAAGCCUGAUGCAGCAACGCCGCGUGGGGGAUGACGGCCUUCGGGUUGUAAACCUCUUUUAGUAGGGAAGAAGCGCAAGUGACGGUACCUGCAGAAAAAGCACCGGCUAACUACGUG